GACGAACCGAGCGAACGUUGUUCGGAAUCACUGGGCUUAAAGGGCGCGUAGGCGGGCUGCCGCGUCCGGGGUGAAAUCCUCCGGCUCAACCGGGGAACGGCCUCGGAUACGGGCGGCCUCGAGGGGGGGUAGGGGCAUCUGGAACUGUGGGUGGAGCGGUGAAAUGCGUUGAUAUCCACAGGAACUCCGGUGGCGAAGGCGAGGUGCCUGGACCCCAUCUGACGCUGAGGCGCGAAGCCAGGGGAGCAAACGGG
rnacentral:rRNA from 1 species